rnacentral:lncRNA from 1 species
CUCAGCGCAGCGGCGGGCUGAAGGGCUGCUGGAGCGCGGCCAGAGCGGACGCCGAGGCCGAGGAGGCGCCGAGAGCGAGUGAGAGCUGCUAGCCAGUUGUCACCUCUCACAGAGAGCUUUGAGAUUUGAAGACAUUCCAUCAGCAUGUUGAUCAGAAGGAAAAAGGCGCCUUAGGAAAGAGACUAAACUGGUCUAUAAAGUUAUUUGAAGGAAUCA